UGGGGGAUAUUGCACAAUGGGGGAAACCCUGAUGCAGCGACGCCGCGUGGAGGAAGAAGGUUUUCGGAUUGUAAACUCCUGUCGUUAGGGACGAUAAUGACGGUACCUAACAAGAAAGCACCGGCUAACUACGUGCCAGCAGCCGCGGUAAAACGUAGGGUGCAAGCGUUGUCCGGAAUUACUGGGUGUAAAGGGAGCGCAGGCGGGAAGACAAGUUGGAAGUGAAAACCAUGGGCUCAACCCAUGAAUUGCUUUCAAAACUGUUUUUCUUGAGUAGUGCAGAGGUAGAUGGAAUUCCCGGUGUAGCGGUGGAAUGCGUAGAUAUCGGGAGGAACACCAGUGGCGAAGGCGGUCUACUGGGCACCAACUGACGCUGAGGCUCGAAAGCAUGGGUAGCAAACAGGAUUAGAUACCCUGGUAGUCCAUGCCGUAAACGAUGAUUACUAGGUGUUGGGGGAUUGACCCCCUCAGUGCCGCAGUUAACACAAUAAGUAAUCCACCUGGGGAGUACGACCGCAAGGUUGAAACUCAAAGGAAUUGACGGGGGCCCGCACAAGCAGUGGAGUAUGUGGUUUAAUUCGAAGCAACGCGAAGAACCUUACCAGGUCUUGACAUCCGAUGCAUAGCACAGAGAUGUGUGAAAUCCUUCGGGACAUCGAGACAGGUGGUGCAUGGUUGUCGUCAGCUCGUGUCGUGAGAUGUUGGGUUAAGUCCCGCAACGAGCGCAACCCUUAUUGCCAGUUACUACGUUAAGAGGACUCUGGCGAGACUGCCGUUGACAAAACGGAGGAAGGUGGGGAUGACGUCAAAUCAUCAUGCCCUUUAUGACCUGGGCUACACACGUACUACAAUGGCGUUAAACAAAGAGAAGCAAGACCGCGAAGUGGAGCAAAACUCAAAAACAACGUCUCAGUUCAGAUUGCAGGCUGCAACUCGCCUGCAUGAAGUCGGAAUUGCUAGUAAUCGCGGAUCAGCAUGCCGCGGUGAAUACGUUCCC
rnacentral:rRNA from 1 species